UACGUAGGGUGCAAGCGUUAAUCGGAAUUACUGGGCGUAAAGCGUGCGCAGGCGGUCUUGUAAGCCAGAUGUGAAAUCCCCGGGCUUAACCUGGGAACUGCAUUUGGGACUGCAAGGCUGGAGUACGGCAGAGGGAGGUGGAAUUCCACGUGUAGCAGUGAAAUGCGUAGAGAUCGGCAGGAACACCCAGGGGGAAACCAGCCGACUGGGCAAGUGCUGACGCUGAGGUGCGAGAGCGUGGGGAGCGAACCGG
rnacentral:rRNA from 1 species